rnacentral:rRNA from 1 species
UACGUAGGGUGCAAGCGUUGUCCGGAAUUAUUGGGCGUAAAGAGCGUGUAGGCGGCCAGGUAUGUCCGUUGUGAAAACUCGAGGCUCAACCUCGAGACGCCGAUGGAAACCAUCUGGCUAGAGUCCGGAAGAGGAGAGUGGAAUUCCUGGUGUAGCGGUGAAAUGCGCAGAUAUCAGGAAGAACACCAAUGGCGAAAGCAGCUCUCUGGGACGGUACUGACGCUGAGACGCGAAAGCGUGGGGAGCGAACAGG